GGGCCGUUAGCUCAGUUGGUAGAGCAGCGGACUCUUAAUCCGUAGGUCCUAGGUUCGAAUCCUAGACGGCCCACCA
rnacentral:tRNA from 2 species